rnacentral:rRNA from 1 species
AGCUCCAAUAGCGUAUAUUAAAGUUGUUGCAGUUAAAAAGCUCGUAGUUGGAUUUCUGGUCGGAGCGACCGGUCGGCGUCCUUAGUGGCGUGUGCACUGUCGUCGGCUCCGUCCAUCCUGGUGAGGAGGCGUGGGGGCAUUGAUUUGUUCUUGCGUGGACUCGCCACGUUUACUGUGAAAAAUUAGAGUGUUUAAAGCAGGCGUUCGCUGUGAAUACAUUAGCAUGGAAUAAUGAGAUAGGACUUUGGUACUAUUUUGUUGGUUUGCGCACCAAGGUAAUGAUUAAUAGGGAUAGUUGGGGGUAUUCAUAUUCAAUUGUCAGAGGUGAAAUUCUUGGAUUUAUGGAAGAUGAACUUAUGCGAAAGCAUUUACCAAGGAUGUUUUCA